rnacentral:rRNA from 1 species
UCUCAGUUCAGAUUGCAGGCUGCAACUCGCCUGCAUGAAGUUGGAAUUGCUAGUAAUCGCGAAUCAGAAUGUCGCGGUGAAUACGUUCCCGGGCCUUGUACACACCGCCCGUCACACCAUGAGAGUCGAUAACACCCGAAGCCUGUGAGCUAACCGUAAGGAGGCAGCAGUCGAAGGUGGGGUUGAUGAUUGGGGUGAAGUCGUAACAAGGUACC